rnacentral:lncRNA from 1 species
AUUGAUUUCAUUACCCUAUGACACUGCCACCUGCUACUUAAAAAUGUAGCCUUAAAACUUUAUGCAGAGUGUGCUAAACUCCUUGCUCCUACCACCUUCUCCCACGACUCCAACAUAAGAAAAUGGGUAAAAUCUAGCAAGUCUAUUCUAAGUACAGACCUUGGCAUAAAUGUGAGACACCCCAGGUUCCUCUGAAGUCCCUGCAACAUUGUGAUUAUUCCAACUGGCAGACAGGAUACAUUUGCUGAAAGGUUUCUCCAGCCAGACUACAGAAGCAGAAACCUUUUCUGUUGCCUUAUCAGUGAUAUUGCUAAAUUCUGCACUUGACAAUGUGGACCAGGUUUACUACUGCUCCACAAGCCAAUUCUUCCAAGAAAUAAAACAGGAUUCCAAUAUCAUAGGAUUCUAAUACCAGACCCUUACAUUUUUUGAAUACUUUUCAAACACAUUAUUCCGUUGCAUUCUCCCCCUGGCAGUCUGUUAGAAAAGUAGAGAAGCUGCUCUUCUUCCUUUCACUAAUGAAGGAAUUGGAGCUCAGAGGGGUUACGUGGCUUGCCAGAAACAACACGGCUAAUGAAGAAUACAACGCAGGCUUGAACCCAAGAUUUACUCAUCUAUCCACUUUUAUGCUACAAUUUUCAUUUUUAAUAUCUGAUACAAGUAUGAACUUAAAAAGUAUAUUGUUUCUAGAUACAAAAGCAAAGGUGAAAGCAUGAUAUCAAUAUUGAUGAUACCAAAAAAUUAAGAUUAAAAAUAGCAAUGACAUGUUAAUAAUUUUGGAGGCCUCUAAAGUUACUGGCAGUCCUAGUUCAAUCCAAUAUGAAUCUGAUAUCAUCUUAUAUCUUCAAUCAAUGUUACAUGAUUAUAAAUUUAUGUAUAUAUUCACCAUAGAAAAUUACAGAAUUGGGUGGUAAGAAACAACUAGCUAUAUAAAUUGCACAUACUCCCCCAAAUCAUUCUCAAGUCUUGUGGCUUCACACUAAAUUAUGAAGUUCCCAAUGUAAAACCUGAUUUGAUUUCAACACUAAGCGAAUUACAACAGCAUAAGCAUGUUCUUACUACAUAAUACUUGCAACAUACAUUCAAUUUCCGAAGCACUUUUGGACAAUGUCUAAAAUCCAUAAGCUAAAAGCAGAACCCAACACAGAAUCUUGUUUCUUUUAAAUGGCAAAGGUUAGUCUACCUAUAUGAGAUGAAUACCAAAUAACAUAAUUAGAACUUAUUAAAAAUUUACAGAAUCAGGCUAGAGAAACUACUUGAGGUCAAAGACUAUAGGCCCUUAAUUGUAUAGAUGAGAAAAUUGAUGCCCAGAGAAGUUAAGUGACAUUCCCAACAGCAAUUAAUGACACAGAUGGAAUCAGAAUAUAUGUCUAUCUGUCAAUCCAGAACUUCCCAUUAUUCUAUAUUACCUCUGCAUUUAAUGUGCUCUUAAAAAAGUCACUAACAUCUAAAACACUUAAGACACAUUAAGACUCAAAAACCAGGGGACACAACAAUGUUCACGACAGUCUUUAGAAAACAAUUUCUUAAAGGAAUCUCAAAAAUUCCAAACAACAAGCACUGAAAGCUGGCUCUUUAUUUUUUUUAUUUUCUUUCCUAUCCAGAGCCCUACUUGAUCAAAAACUGGCUCUUUAAUCCAUUGCAAAUUAUCAAGUAGCUUUUAAUAACUAACACGGCUAUAAACCACCAUAACUGUUCUUUUUUCCAUAUCAAUACUAUUCACUUACUAAAAAAAAAAAUCUGAGGGUAUAGAAUAUGCUGAUAACUGUGCUGGGUAUUGGCGACACCAGGGAACAAAACAGACGAGGCCUCUGGCUCUUCUAAUGGACAGCUGGGUGCAACUCUCUAAAAAUACUACUUCAUGAUUUGACAGGAUAUUUGCCAAAGUCCUUCACUACUCUACACAACUAUAACAACAUUUUCUUCCACCUCUUCCAAACUUAUAAUAACCUUCACCACACCCCCUCUAAAACGUGAAUACGUCCUUUGGUAACUCAGCAUUCUACUUCACUAAAGAAGGUGUGAACGUGUUAACUAGAACUACAGCAGAUUUUUAAACUGACUUUACCACUCCUCACGGCCUGCGGCAAAUUUCAAGAACUUUUCACAAUCUGUAGUAACCCUUCCUGGUUCACAACCCUGAUCUCAAAUGACUGCUAACACACCCAUCCUACCCUCCACUAGAAAUCUGAGUCAGAUGGUUUAGGAGCAACCAUGUUAGGGAGCAUCUUCAGUGGACCCCUUUAUGAGCCAGAAGCUGACUUACUUCCUCUCCUUCUCUGUUUAUUUCCUCUGGAUUCUUGUGUAUCUCUGGAUACAAUGUAUCUCCAAUUAAUCAGCAUCUAAUUUUAUCAAGUGUGUUCCUGAUAACUUGUGCACAAAUUAACUUUUGGCAACAAAUCUGUUUCACCUACACAAAUCCAUUAUAUUUUAAGAGAUGCUCAAUUUGCAUCCUUUAAGUUUCUCAUGCUUCCCCUUCUCCACUUCUUAAAUUCUUAAAAAGCUAUAAACUGCAUAAGUUCGAGGAACUUAGGUCGUCCAUAAUAUUGCUAAUGACCAGCCUUAAACUAGACAACCACUGAAGAACCUGGCCUAUGAGCUGAGAAACUUGGGUUCUUUUAUGGCUGGCCAUUAACGACAAGUGGGGCUGUACCACUGUGCUGGUCACUUGAAGUUCUCUGAGUCACCUGAAAAUGAGGGAGUAAUUGGAGCCAAAAGAGGUCUGUCAUCAUAGGCAGCCAAUCUAGAAUUCUAGAAUCCUCCAAAUUUAGUUUAAUAUCACAUACUAUACUGGGUUACUCAAAACAGUGUCAUUCUGGCUGGGGGUGGUGGCUCACGCCUGUAAUCCCAACACUUUGGAAGGCCGAGACAGGUGGAUCACUUGAGGUCAGGAGUUCCAGACCAGCCUAGCCAACAUGGAGAAAUCCCUGUCUCUACUGAAAAUACAAAAAUUAGCCAGCCGUGGUGGCGCACACUUGUAAUCCCAACUACUUGGGAGGCUAAGGUGGGAGUAUUGCUAGAAUCCGAGAGGCGGAGGUUGCAGUGAGCAGACAUCACACUACUGCACUCCGGCCUGGGCGGCAGAGCGAGAUAACGUCUCAAAAAAAAAAAAAAAGUGUCAUUCUGUAAGCUCUUCUAGCCUGCCCAAGUCAUAGGCCCUAUAAAGGGAAGACUUUCUGCAUGCCAUCAAUGUCUCCUGUCCUACUGAACAGCCCUGAAUCUGAAAGGGGAUGGUCCCCCACCACCUCUCCACGGACAAAUCAUAAACAUUUAACAUUUAAAAAAAAUCAUCUCCUGUAAUUCAACCCAGGCCUCUCAUGGCAUUACCAUUCACAUAAGAGAAAGUUGAACCUCAACUGGAAAAGUAUAUGGUUUGGGGAUGUUGUUUUGUUUGUUUGGGUUGUGGAAAAACAGAUGUCAGAAAACAAAGUGGAUAUCAAGAUACUAGAACAGUAAGAAUUUAGGCCUCGGUCUGCAAACGACAUUUGAACAUCAAUACUUACCAGGCAGCAGGACAUGGCAAGGCCCGCCACGGCACAGCCUCCUCCUCCACCAUCUCACCAGGCUCCCUGCCAGGCCCGGCGCAGGGCAGCGACUGAGCUACUAGGGCGUCUGGUCCGGCUGCUACUCCGCCGCCGCCGCCGCCUUCUCACAACCACAACAACACUGCAGCAGCGGCCACACAGAGUGCACUCCCGACGCCGAGCCGGGCGACGAGCGGAGACCCGCGCGCACGCUCGGGCGCUGAAGCCGGUGUCCGGGACAUAGCUUAAGGAAAUAGGAAUCCUUUAUUCCUGGGACUUAAAAGCUUGACUUUCUCCAGUAAGUCAAUUACCAGUGCCCACGGCAGGAAGAGCUCUGAUGCCAGGGUUGACAGCACGCUGGAAAACCGGAGGAGUGUUUGCAUUUCUGGGGCCUCAAGUAAUGAGAAGUUCUUCCAAGAACACUGACAGGGGUAUUAUUGCCCUAUUUUAGAAUUAUUACUCUGAAGAUCAGGGAAUUUCAGGCGGUUGAACUCAUGCCACAGCACCUGUGCUUUUCUGGUAGGGGAGGGAUGGAGUCCAGCUCAGGAGUCCCCCGUCAUGGGGGAAAGCACUGUGAUGGGAUGUCUGUGGGGGAAUUAGAACCUGGCCAAGGCCCCCCACAGCAAGGAAAGGGAUGCUCUUCCCAUCCUUG